AUGCAAUCUCUCUCUGAAUGUGCAAUGUCUUUCCUGCUCGGGAGUGCCGCGUCCUUCACAGUGGAUUGGUUCCUCUUUCGGAGCAGAGUGAAAGAAACUGAUUUCAAAGGGAAGGAAGAAAGGAAGAAGAUAUGUCUAUUUCAAGCAUUGCUGGAAGGAGUGGCUUAAUGUCUGAAACAUAAUGGAAAUGUCUGAAUUUGCUGAGCCAAUGAUUUAAAUUGAGGAUCUGCUCUCCAGUGCAUUCAGGAGCAAUGCAUUCCAACUAAGACAAAGUCAGGCAAAAACACAUCAGGAGGCCUGUGUGGAUCAACAACGUCAAAUUCAAGCAUGUAAAUGAAGACUCCGGGGGGUGGAAUCAAGGACGGAUAGCCUGGGAUGAAUACAGAGAUAUUAACUGAGCAGCCAGGGAUCAGAAUACAAACGCUAAAGACCUGAUGGAAUUAAAUCAACCCAUGAACAUCAAGGGAAACAAGAAAAGUUUCUAUAGCUAUGAUGGUGAUGAAGGGACGAUUAGGGAAAGUGUGGAGCCUCUCUACAAGGAAAUGGAAGAUCUGAUGACCCAGGAGAUGAAGAAGACUGAGUUACCCAAUGACUUUUCUGCCUUUGUGUUCAAUGACAAAUGUCCCAGCCAUGCUGCCUGACUCACAGGACAUAAAGCAGUUCCUCCUGGAAAGUAUGGUGAGACAUGUAUAAAAUAAGGAGAUGAUUGAUGACAGUCAAGAUGGCUUUACUACAGGCAAAUUGUGCCUGAUGAAUUUGGUGGUCUUCUAUGACAUGAUUAAGGCAUUGGUGAAUGGCAAGAAUGGGAAGAAUGACUGAUGAAAUCUAUCUGGACUUGAGCAAAACAUUUAAUGCUGUCUUACAUGACAACCUUGUCUCUAAACUGGAAACAUGGAUUGACAGGUGGAAUAUGUGGUGAAUAACGAAUUGGUUGGGUGGAUGCGCUUAAAGACUUGCAGUCAAUGGCUUGAUGUCCAAGUACAGACCAGGCAUGAGUAAUAUUCCUCAGAAGUCAGUACUGGGGCUGUUUAAUGUCUUUGUUGGUGAUGUGGGCUGUGGGAUUCAGUGAACUGUCAGUGCUCAACAGCACCAAACUGUCUGGUGCAGCCAACAUGCUGGUGGGAAGGGAUAUGUCAUCCAGAGGAACCUUGACAGUUAGAGGUGUCAUGUUUCCAAUGAAUAUGAACCCAAAUGGAUGAAAUAAGACUGAUUUUUAAAACCAAAGCUUUCAAUGCAGCAUGGUAUGAUCAGCAACUGGAUCAUUCUCCAAACUCACUUAGCAGGAUCCUUUGGAACAAAAGUUCCAGCAUUCAGCUGGAUGAACACAUCGUGGGAUGGGUGAGCAGCUGGCUCAUGGGUUGGGCACAGAGGGUUACAGUGAAUGGGGUGACAUCAGAGUGAUAAACUGUCACUAGAGGGGCUCCACAGAGCUCCAUCCUUGGCCCUGAUCUCUUUAACAUCUUCAUAAACAACUUAGACAUGGGAAUGGAAGGGAUACUGAGCAAGUUUGGAGAAGAUAUAAAACUGUGAGGAGCUGUUGCCUCCCUCAAAGACAGGGAGGCCCUACAGAGAGACCUCGACAAAUCAGAGGGCUGAGCAAUCACCAACCACGUGGAGUUCAACAGGGCAAAGUGCUGGAUUCUGCAACUGAGAUGGGGUUACCCUGGAUGUAUGGAUAGACUGGGGAUUGAGAUGCUGGAAAGCAGUGCAGCAGAAAGGGAUGUGGGGAUCCUACUUGACUGAAAGCUGAACAAGAAUCAGCAGUGACCUGGAAGCCAGGAGGGCUGAGUGCGUGCUGGAAUGCUUCAGGCAUAACAUCACCAACCAAGAGGAUGCUGGUAAUGUCCCCCAGGAAUCAGUCUUGGGUCCAGUUCGAUGACUCCAGAUUAUUCCAGAAGACCCACCACAGAACACAGCUAAGCCCAUCAGCCAAGCUGGUGGUGCCUCUAGGAAAAUAUAUUUAAGAAUGAGAAGAAAAUUCCAAACAGGCAGAGAGAACACAAAGAGUGAGAAACAGCAGAGGGAACACCACAGUCACAGAAAAGAGGAGAAAUGGUUUCCCAGUCACCGAACAAGGUAUUUAAUUUGGAGUCCAUGAAGGACCCACAUGAGAUUAGAGGAAAAGUGUGAGACACAAGGAACAACAGACACAAACCACCGUGCACUGACUGUACACACUCCCAAAGUAUUUUCACUGACUCGUUGAAGGGCUGAAGGGAUUGAGGCAGACUUUAGCAAUUAGGAGAGGGAAGAGAUGAAGAGUAAGAAAACUGUCUUUUCCAUUUUUUUAAUGACUGAAGCAAAAAUCAAUUAAUUUGAAGAACUAUUAAAAAAACCUAAAACAUUCCUGAUAUUCUGAUGGUAAACCUCACUUUAGGAUUAUGCCUGAAAUAUUUGCCAGAUUUUUUCUACUUCUGAACUCAUGCCACUGAGGGAAUUUCUAAAGUUCUUUUGUUUAUAUUUUUAGAAGAUAGUCUCAACUAUAUUUUCUUCAAUGUGUAAUAACCUUUUGCUGGGCUUUCUUUGAAACCAUCUACUUAACAUUGCUGUGUAGUCUUUUUUCAGAUUUCUGCUGGCCUAAGAUAGAAGAUUGAUAGUCAGACUGUCCCUCUGGGAAAAGAAAAGAAAAAAAGAGUAAUAAACACC